rnacentral:lncRNA from 13 species
UUUGUGUUUGUGACAUUUUCAGACAUUUCUUAGAGAUUCUGAUGACUUUCUGAGGUCACUUUUAGAACCACUCUGUGGCUCUAUAAAAUAGUCAGCUUAGCCCAGUGUUUCUUACCGAUGGGACAGGACUUCUGUAGUCACAGGCUUCACCACACCAGCCUGCUUUUCACAUUUGUGUAACUCCCUGGUUUCUGCAACCGUUUUAUUGCCAACUGCUGAAAGGCCAUUCCACUUACAUUUUUCAUUAAGGAGCUACCUCAGAAACCCUGGAUUUAGAGCACAAAUCCUAGCUGCAAGUGCCACUUCAUUCAGAGUGAUUUUUGAGAAAGACAUAUGUACAAAAGAAGAGAGUAGACAGAGGUGAAAAGAACAGGAUAUCUGGGACCUGCAUGUAAUAACACCAACUGAUUUUAAGCAAGAUUUGAGGUAAAAUCGAAUUGGUCUUUGGAAAGCUGAGACAUCAGGAGUGCAAGAGCAGCUUGAGCAACAUGGUGGAAUCCCAUCUCUACUAAAAAUACCGAAAUUAGCCCAGCAUAGAGGCAUGUGCUUGUAGUCCCAGUUACUUGGGAGGCUGAGAUGGGAGGAUAGCUUGAGCCUGGAAGGUCAAGGCUUCAUCAAGCCUGCAAUGAGUCAUGAUCUGACUACUGCACUCCAGCCUGGGGAACAGAGUGAGACCCUACCGCAAAAUGAAAACAAACAAACAACAACAAAAACAAAAACAGAGAAAAGAAAAGAAGAAAAAAAAUCUAAUUUGAUAUUGAAUGGAAAGUUGGUGUGUAAGCAAAAAGGAACAGAAGCCGUCAGUAAAGCAGGGCAUAAAUGUGCUCUUAGCAAACCAAAAGCAAUUCUCAUGGGUCAGUUGCGGAAGAACUUGCAAGGAAUUUGGAAUCAGAAGACAGAAAUUCAUUCUUGGCUCUGCCACUCACAUGUGAUCUUCUACUUGUUAGCUAAAUUUCUAGUGCCUAAAGCAGCCAGAUAACCCUCAAUGAGCCCUUGUGUCAUCCCUUUCCUCCCAGGAUAAGGUUUCACCUUUGUGGCCAAUAGUGCAUGGCAGAAAUAAUGUGCUGACACUUGUAAGAUUAGGUGAUAAAAACAGGCUUCUGUUAGAGGCAUGUAUUCCUUCUCUCUUACUCACUUUAGGGGAAGUCAGCUGCCUUGUCUUGAGGAUACUCAGGCAACUCUGUAGAGAAGCUUAUGUGGCAAGAAACCGAAAGUUUCAGAGAACAAGGAAAUGAGGACUCCAGCCAUUUGCUUCUCGGAAGCAAAGACUGAAUUUCCAACCAGUGCUUUACAUGAUGAUGCAGUGAUCAAAACAUCAUGAGUAACUGAACAAAAACCAUCCAGCGAUGCCAUUCUGGGAUUCCUGACACUCGGAAGUUGUAAAAUACACAUGAAUAAAUAUUUCUUACACAGUACCUCUCUUGUACA